CAGUCGCCGCGGUAAUACGGAGGGGGCUAGCGUUGUUCGGAAUUACUGGGCGUAAAGCGUACGUAGGCGGCUUUGUAAGUUAGAGGUGAAAGCCCGGGGCUCAACCCCGGAAUUGCCUUUAAGACUGCAUCGCUUGAAUCGCGGAGAGGUGAGUGGAAUUCCGAGUGUAGAGGUGAAAUUCGUAGAUAUUCGGAAGAACACCAGUGGCGAGGGCGGCUCACUGGACGCGUAUUGACGCUGAGGUACGAAAGCGUGGGGAGCAAACAGGAUUAGAGACCCGAGUAGUCCCUGUCUCUUAUAU
rnacentral:rRNA from 1 species